CCACUGGAAGGCUAUUCCAGGUAUCUACUACCCUUUCUAUAUCACUGUUACUGCUUCCACUGGAAGGUUAUUCCAGGUAUCUACUACCCUUUCUGAAUCACUGUUACCGCUCCCACUGGAAGGCUAUUCCAGGUAUCUACUACCCUUUCUAUAUCACUAUUACUGCUACAACUGGAAGGCUUUUCCAGGUAUCUCAUACCCUUUCUAUAUCACUGUUACUGCUCCCACUGGAAGGCUAUU